UACUUGACGAGACGAAGAGAUUGAUACCUACCUCGACUCCUAACUCGCCGGGGAUUCGCCGGAAAAUGCCUCGAAAGCUCCGGCCAAACUUUGAACUUGUUGAUCUCCGUGUUCUUACGUCCAAAAACUUCCAACGAAGCACUCCGAGCUUCCUUGGGACUUCCUUAAGCCCACUGUGAGCUUAGUUUGGCCUAAAACACAACCAAUUCAAAGCUCAUGAAUAGUACACUUUCACGGGGAGUUUAGAAUCUAGGUUUUCCGAAGUAAAACUUACCUGAAAUUGGUGUCUACGUGAUCGUGGAGGUUCCAGGAGUUCGAUGGUGGUCUUAAAUGGAACGUUGGUACAAGAUUGUGGGGUGGUUCUUGGUGGUUGCCGUGAGUUCGAGAGUAAGAGAGAGAGUCUGAAAUGAUAGAAGAAUAAGAGAGAGAGAGUGACUAAGGAGAUGAGAGAGAGACAACAAAAACGGGUUUUGGGGAAGGAUUUCAGGGUAUAAGGCCCUACCUUAACCCAUAUAAUAUUAACACAUACAAUUACACACCUUAAUCCCGUUUAAGGGUAUUUCUGAAAUUUCACGUCCUCGGAAUUUAAAAUUCCGGGACGGGCUGUGACAAUCUCCCCUCCUUAUAGAAUUUCGUCCCCGAAAUUCCAGUCACCAACCAGAACAUCAAAACUCAUAAAAUAGCCUCGGAUACAUAUCUCUCAUCCGUUCUUCCGUCUCCCAAGUAGCUUCUUCCACUGAAUGGUUCCUCCACAAUACUUCCUCCACAAUACUUUUACCACUUACUCUGUCUUAAUUCUCAGGACCUUCUUUUUCCAAUCCAAAGUCGUCAUUAGCUCCUCACUAAUUAGAUCCAGUUUAAUUCUCAAUAGUUACACCAGAAUCCCAUGUGACGAAUUUGCCACCUAGUGACAACGCAUCGAAAUAUAAUACAUUAUGCACCUUAGCCAAUUUUGAAGGCAUCACAAACUUAUAUGCAACUUCAUCGAUUCCUUUAAUGAUCAAAACGGUCUGAUGUGUUCAAGACUUAUCUUGUCUCCUUUCUGAAUCUUACUAUUUCUGUUCAUGGUGAAAUUCCAAAAAUAUCGAAUCAUAAAACACAUCAUGCACUUACAACAACUCUGGAAGCCAUUUAAAUAUGUAUUCAACUUCACCAACCUUUCGAUGAUCACAUAAAAUUCGGUUCACUUAGGAUUUAACUUGCCUUCCUAUCCAGACCGAAUCACACUUUUCCAAGGUGAAAACUUCGAAAAUAUAAAACCAUCUGUCUUAUACACUCGAUUAGUGGCAUAUCCCUCUGUUAAUCUCUUUUGCCAUUCCUGGUUACUUUCAGGUUAACUUAAUCACCUGAAUACUUUGAGGAGACUCAUCCAUAGUCUCAGGGUCUACUAAAACUCUUUCUCGAUCGAAUCUUUCUCUACCCAGAAACAUUCCAUUCACAAGUCAUCAAAAACCGACUCACGUGACACAUUUCAUGGUCCUUAUGGCGUUACUUCAGAAACUGCACAACCAACAUACUUAAGAAACUCAGCAGUUCCGUAAACCAAUUCUUCUUUCUAUAAAACAAAUAAGUACCGUUACUCAACCCUGGAGUAAAUGUACUAACUUGGUACAUUGACCAACUAUCGCUUCAAAUUCAAUCAUAACCAUCCUAUGUAUCAUGAAACUUGUACACAUAGUCCCAAGUAUCAUCUUUCCAUUUCCGUUUCGAAACAGAAAAUAGCUGUCUCAAUCCAAAGGUUUAUUUCUUUCUGCCUCAAUCUGCUGACCAAUAAAAAUGUCGAAUGGUAUGAUAAACCUUAUUACUUUCAAAAUAUUGCAGAAGCUGAACAGUGAACUUCGUCCAAUAUUGCUUGCUUAAACCCACAGCAUUAUGCACAUACUUUUCGUUUGCUUGUAUUCACAUACCAUCCGAGAUAGCCUGGUAAGCUAAGAAAUUCCAAAUCUCAAUUACGACUCGUGGUUGUUCCAAAUUCUCAAUUUCUGCUAUCUUUUAAGGAUUCACUUGAAUACCUUAAGAAUAUAUGACAAAUCUCAAAAUGCCACCUGAUUCAUCUAACUUUAGCAUUUGCUAAACUUAGCAUACAAUCGACAUUCUUCCAAUCUUUAUUCCACCGACUUAAUACGUUUACAUGCUCUGCUCUGGCUCAGAAUAUGCCAGAAUAUCUUCAACGAAAAUGAUAUCAAUUAUCAAAGCAUUAUUGUAAUACUUCAUCCAUCAACUCAUAAAACAGCAUGAGUAUCCAUAUAGCAUCACCAAACUUCAUAAAGACUAUAACAAGUCCAGAAAAACAUCUUAUGAUCAACGUCACUUAUAAUAUUCAAUUGGUAGUAACCAGAUCUCAAUUCAAUCUUUGAAUCUUCGCAAUUACUUCUGAGCUGGUUAAAUAAACAUCAGUACAUCACGAUGGAUAACGGUUCCCAAUCGUUACCCGAUUCCAUUGUCUAUAAUCAAUGGAUAGUCUUAAAGCCCAUUUUCUUCCUUACCAACGAACUGGGGCUCCCCCAAAGCGUUGUACUAGGUUGAAUAAAAUUUUUAUCAACCAAUUCUUUCAACUGAAUUUCCAAUUCCCUUAACUCAUCAUGAACCAAUCUUUAACAUAAAUCUAUACUUGGCAACAAAUCAAUAGUGAAUCUCAUAUCUCUGCCUGAAGGCAAUCCAGGUAUACUUUCAGGGAAGACAUCAAGAAAAGUCUAACCCUUUCGACAUUAUUCACACUACUCCAAACAACAUCAUUUAGCACCACAUGAACUAAGUAUUUUUUUUUUUUUUUUUUUUUUUUUUUUGGGGCAGCCUUUCAAAACAAUAUCUUUGCUUUCACAGCAUAAAUAAUGGCUGAACUCACUUCACUUUGUAUGCCCACCAAAGUAACCUCUAAUUAAUCAACUCGAUGGAAAGUAACUGGUUUCCCGUAACAUUCCAUCUAGUCACAACUAUAAACAAUCAAUCUAAUGGAAUAAAAUUAACUGACCCAAUACAUACUUUAUUACUACUAAGCAUUCUGAAUAAGUACAAUACUAAUAUAAAAUAAUCUACCGGUUUACUUACUUAACGAAUCCACGAAUGAGUUAUUAAUAUUACAGUCUGCAGCCCGCAAUACUGAUAAAUCAUCGUUGUCUCGAUAAGUAGGCAACCACUCUCAAAGAUAUAACAUACAUAAUAAGAAAUAUAUCAGCCGAAGUCAACUAGAAUGAUCAAUACGGCUGAUUCAACUCUUAUCUCAAUAAUACGUCGGCCGGAUCCACUCUGCGUGGUCGGUACGGCCGAACCUAUAACUCACCAAUUCCUCAUGUGUCAGUCGAAUCCAUUUCUCAUGGUCUGUACGGCUGAACAUAUAACUCAUCAAAUCUCUCUGUACUCACGGUCAAUCCGACCAAACUACUAAGUCCAUAACUCUGCUGAAUCGACACUAUGAUAUCAUGGAAAAUUGUUGAGUACAACUAAUUCUAGGGACGAUUCACAAUUCUGUGUCCCCUCUGUUCACAUAAACACAUUCAUAAAUUUACCUGCUGCACAAGGUACAAUUCCUUUACUCGAGACACCUUGUCUCAAAUAUCUGGAAUUACCAGUAUAUCCAUCACUUUUACUCUGACCAGCGACACCAAAACCUCGGCUGGAAGAAUUAACUCUAGCUUCACUUCUUUCGAAGCUCUGAAUCUUUCUAUAUCCUUGAUAUGACUAAUCAUUAACUUUAUCAUCUUCUUUUGAUUCCCAUUCAUUUCUUAUUCUUCUUUAUUCUCGUUGCUCAUGUUCUCAGAGUCCUCAAGACUCAACAGCAUCUCGUAUAUUCCUGGUAAGAAGUACAAUGGAUAGUGGUCACCCAAAAUACCACUUCCCUUUUUUGCCACCCAGCUUAAAACAACAUAACACCUCCACCAUAUUAACAACAAUAUCUGGAUGGAACGAGGCAAGUCUGAAAACUUUCUAUAAUAUCCCUCGAUCAUCACCUUCCUUGUCUCAUAUUUGUAAACUCUUGUUUACUACCAUCGAUAAAUGCCGGAGGGAUAAACUUUUCCUUAAACAAGUCCUUAAACAAUUCUCAAUCGACUGUUCCUCCGGUGACAACAAAUCAUACUCCUGUUUCCACCAGGAUACAAAUUCAUACCCAAAACCAGGUAGUCGUCUCGACCCCCUGUCAGAAGGAAAUUUCCUUUGACUUGCAUAACCUGAAACAUCUUUUCCAAAUGGUUAAACCGUUACUUCGCUCCCUCAGGUUCAUCAUUUCUCUUAGGUGAUUCAAGUUCAACUCAUUACCCAUCUUAAAAUGUCCAUUUUGAUAAUAUACUGAAUCACCAUAAUAAUAGUUUCCCCCUAAACCGCUAAAUCAGGGAGACUAAGUUCCUCUAACUACGUGGUUUGCUACGAGGCGGUGUAGUUCUGACAGAAUUCACUAGAACUUCUCAAGAUGUCCAAGAUUGCAACCAUGCUCUGAUACCAACUGACACACCCCGUCCCGAAGGAGGGCAUGCUGGCCGUCACGUGAGAGUGACGUAACCAUUUGCACAGUACGGAAGCUUUAAGAUACAAUUUAUAAGUUGAUACACCCGAAGGGAGUCCUAAUUUUGUCCAAUCUGUCAGAACACCGUCGGAUUCCUCGUAGCCACCACACCUCAGCUAUUCUUUAACCUGGAGGGGCGCAAAACCAAAAUUGAGUGGGUCAGUAAAACAAUUCUUUUCCAAAUCCAAACAUUUCUCAAAACGUUGUAACCCCUCUCCGUAAAACCUGUAUACUUUCCCAGAAAUGUAAAAUAUAAAUAUACAUAUAUAUUCUCAAAACUUCAUUUUUACUAUCUCAACAUUUUUCUUUAUCAAUCAUGCCAUGCCAUGUCUAAUUCAACAGUUAAGUAUGGAUGCAUCAACAAUAAUCAUAUCAGGUACAAGAAAGUAAUCAACCGGAGGCCCUCUAAUAGCCCUGUACGGUUGAACCUAGAGCUCAAAAUCUAUCACUAUCACUCUACCGGAGUCACCUCUGUGACCCGUCCGGCCUUCUGCACACAAGUUACGCUCUAGUGCUUUCUCAUCAAUCAUCUGUGCACAUAAUCUAAGGUCACCCACCAGUCGGAAUCUCACUAACACUCUCGCGACUGGCCUGUCGUACCCACUCCGCGUGGACUGUACGACUAGCAUCUACUUGGAUCCAAGGCGAGCGUGCAAUGCGGUGAAUACUAUAAGCACUAAACCAUGGUGCAGGAUUUGAGCUCAAUAUAUAUCAACAUCAUCAUAACAGUAAUUAAAUACUCACCUGAUACUCACCUGUGCGUCCGCCGCACCAUUCAUUCAUAUGCAUCAUAUCUCAAUUCAUACUUUUCAUAUCAUUUCAUGCAUGGCAAUUCGAUUCACAUUUCUAUAUACUUUUCAUAUACUUUUAUGCAUGGCAUUUCAACUAAUAUAUCUCAUAUACUUUUAUACAUUUUCAUUAAAAGCAUAAUUUCAUGCAUUUUCAAUUUCUGGGAAACGGCAAGUAUAUAUGUAUACGGAAAACAAAACUGCCCACUCACCUGGAGUUCGCCCUACAACUCCCUAGCACAAUACGCCAAGGCGUCAUGACGAUCGGCGCCUAAAACAAUAAUUAAUUCCAACCUCAGAAUUCAUAGUGAUAGAAUAUAUAACUUAUAUAAAAUACGUCACUACGUAGUUCGAUCCGGAAGAUCUGCCACUCAGAUUUUAAAUCCAUAACUUCCAGAGGUCCACAAUAUAUCUCUAGGACAACAUCCUAAAAUUUCAUCACCAUCCAACGGUCGGAUCGUCAAUUCACAUUUUUACCUAAAUGUGAAAACUAUAAAACGUUAUUCGAACACCUAACCAACAAUCCUUAAUAACUUUCUCAUACGGUGCUCAAUUUGGGUAUAUGAAUAUACCACGGUGAUCUACUCGACGUCACGGACGUCGACAUAUUUUUAAAAUAAUUUUAUUUAUUUAUUUUUUUUAACUGUAGCACCUUCUUCUUCCUUGGGUCGCCGGACUGGUUUUUCCGGCGGCCGUUUUCCGGGCAGUUUUUCAAAUUGUCAUAACUUUGUCAUUUCUCAACGAAAUCAAGUGAUUCAAAAACGAAAGUUGUAGCCCUUGAAGAGAAAAAGAGAAUGGUACCUUGAACAACACCUCGUUCGCCGUGGUUUGGCCGAAAACUGCCUCGAAAGCCUCGGAGGUCGCCGGAAACUGGGUAUUUUUCAAAUGAGUAUAACUUCUUCAAUACUCAACGAAAUUGAGUGAAACAAAAAGGAAAGUUGUAGUACUUGACGAGACGAAGAGAUUGAUACCUACCUCGACUCCUAACUCGCCGGGGAUUCGCCGGAAAAUGCCUCGAAAGCUCCGGCCAAACUUUGAACUUGUCGAUCUCCGUGUUCUUACGUCCAAAAACUUCCAACGAAGCACUCCGAGCUUCCUUGGGACUUCCUUAAGCUCACUGUGAGCUUAGUUUGGCCUAAAACACAACCAAUUCAAAGCUCAUGAACAGUACACUUUCACGGGGGGUUUAGAAUCUAGGUUUUCCGAAGUAAAACUUACCUGAAAUUGGUGUCUACGUGAUCGUGGAGGUUCCAGGAGUUCGAUGGUGGUCUUAAAUGGAACGUUGGUACAAGAUUGUGGUGGUUCUUGGUGGUUGCCGUGAGUUCGAGAGUAAGAGAGAGAGUCUGAAAUGAUAGAAUAAGAGAGAGAGAGUGACUAAGGAGAUGAGAGAGAGACAACAAAACGGGUUUUGGGGAAGGAUUUCAGGGUAUAAGGCCCUACCUUAACCCAUAUAAUAUUAACACAUACAAUUACACACCUUAAUCCCGUUUAAGGGUAUUUCUGAAAUUUCACGUCCUCGGAAUUUAAAAUUCCGGAACGGGCUGACAGUUUCCAUAUCCAAUAAACUUUUGUAGAGGCCAUUUUUUUUUAAAUUGUUGUAGAAAUCAUCUUUAGAUAAUAAUAAAAGAAUAAGAGGUUACGAUUAUAACGUUUAUAUGAUAAUAUAAUAUCACUUCAUUCCUGAAAAAGGAGUCCACAGAUGAAGCCAAAGAGUCAUAAACAUGCAUACGUAGGAAUAAUUCAACCGACGGAACACCAUGUUUAAAACAUGUCAUAUUCGAGUAGACAACGAUCGUAUAUGAUUACACAAUAAUGAGUAAAUGACAAUCUAUUUGCUUUCAGACUGACAAAGGUUGGCUCGCAUAUUGACAUGUCCUGUCCUCCUAUUCUCCGCCGCGUCGGAAGUAGGGUAGCGGGAAUCCCCUUCGGAUCAGAUUCUCCCUCCAUCCCAGAUCAGCUUUCAAGACCAUUCAUUAAAUUUAAUUUUCAGAAAUUAACGAAAGAAUUAACAAAUAUAAAAAAAAAUACAAAUAAAAGAUAAAGAUCUCCAGGACAAUGCUUUCAACAAAAAAACAAUUCCCAAAUGAACUCUUGAUUUCUUUCCAGGAAAAUGCUUUGAUACGAAGCUUUAGGAGCCAAAAAUUGUGUUUCUACGCUAAAAUGAAAAGAAGCUUAUUACUUGAUUCUCCAAAAUUCGUGUGGCUGAAAAAUGUGUCAAUAAGAAAGAAGAUAUUACUCCACUUUGAAAAACGGGCUAAUUGAUGAGUAUUGAACUUAUAUUAUAUAAGGAAAACUAAUGAAAAAGGCUUGAAAACUUUGAAUAAAGUGAAUAGUACCAAGAUUGACUUUUUAGUGUAAAAAUGUGGUUUUUCGUUAAAGUGAACAGUACCGGGUGUUUUUCGUUAAAGUUCCCUAUUAUAUAUUGUACCCUAUUUUUAGUUUGUUUCCUUAUUUAUUUUCGUGAAAUUUUGAUAUUUUGAUUUAUAUUUUUCAUGUAGAACAUGUGACUUAUUCUUGAGCAAAAGGUGAUCGAGCAGACAAAUUUUGGAGUGAUUCUAAUUGGAGGAUUUUCGUGAGUCUUUCAACUUAUUUGUGUCAAAGUUUCAAAUUUUUCUACCAAGUGGUUAACCUAUGGCGAUGAAAUAAAGAACUAGUGCGUAAUGCUAUCAAAUUGACAUUUUAGGUUUAUUUGGGCUUUUCGAAAUCCAAAAUGGUGUAUUUUGGCGAUGAGCCUGUUUUGGAGCUGAUUUAGGCCUGAAUUGGACUAUUUAGUAAGCUGGCAAAUUCUCCACGUUUGAUUAGGAGAUUGUUUCCUAGUUUCUCUUAAUUUAAUUUGUUUCUUAGUUUUUGGAAGACCUUUUUCUAGGAAGGAUUUUAAUUGUAGUAGUAUAAAUAAAGAGGACGGCCCUAAGGAUUUGACACAACUUUGAGAGGAUUGCCAAAGGCUCUGGCGAAUUGAAAAUUUCAAACUACAAAGUGUUUUCACUCUUUUUCUAUUCAAUAAAAAUUCCUUUGAUUUUAAUUAUAAAUAUGCGUAACUAACUUCUUUUUUCUAGGGCAAGGCCCCGAGCCUUAGUAUGAAUAUGUAGUUUUUAUUUAAUUGCUUAUUAUAUUAUGCAUGCAUACUUUGAAUUGUUAAUCAUUGUGUUUAAAUUGUUUUUAUAUCUUAUUGCUUAGCUACCAUUAGGGUGUUUUAGAUAAGUAAUUAGAUUCAAUUUCUUGAAAUGCGGCCUAAAAAUUGAGGAAUGCUUCUUGUGGUUAAUAAUUGUACGUUCACUUAAGGCGAAUGCCAUGUCUCAAGGGUUGCAUGGUUUUUCAAAAGGCUUUCACAAAGCGGAAUGAGUCAUGCAUGUUUACAUUUUGUUUGAAUCCCACAAAUGGAUUGCAUGUUUGAUGUACAUUCUAUCUUGAAUGCCACCAUUAGAAUAUGUAGUAGGAAAACUUAACCUUCAAAGUUGCAUGGAUCAUUCAUAAGUGAUUGGUGAAACUACGUACAAUUAUUAAGGUGACGGGGGACCUUGGUGUCUUUUUAUAUUUGUUUCGAAACCGUGUGUUUUUAAAUUGGUUUCUCAAAAUUUACUUUCUUGCUAGUUUCUUUAAUUGUUUUUAUUAAAUUCGCUUUUAUUAUUUAACACAAAAUCAACAUUUUCUAAACUGUGUUUUCAAUUAAUUAAGAUUUGAUUUUACAUACAUUGCUUUAAAUAAUCCAUGUGAGAAUAACCUUAUACCAUUGCAAGUAUUUUAUGAGAUUUUAAUCCUCUUUGUGCAGGUACUAAAAAUCUUCUCACUAAUCAUAAUACAAAAAAAGAUGCUCGCUUACGGUUUUAUAUCAUGUCUUCCAUCAGUAAUCAUUUUGUGAAAAAGUAGGACAAAUUCAUAAGAGACAAUUUUUACACGUUUUUUUUAGCUUCUCACGCCUCUUUAUUUAUAAGGGGUGUGCUAUCCACAUACCCCAUUUUACUUCUCACACCCCUUGAUAAUUUAUGUCCGUUGAUCUUCUUCAAUUCAUCCGAUCCGAAGGCCGUAAAUUAAAAAAGUGUGUGAGAAGUAAAAUGAGAUGUAUGGAUAUCACAACCUAUUUA
rnacentral:lncRNA from 1 species